ACCUCCAAGGAUAAGGAGGUGUUUUAUCCUAAGGUUGAGGUGUCUUACCUCCAAGGAUAAGGAGGUGUUUUAUCCUAAGGUUGAGGUGUCUUACCUCCAAGGAUAAGGAGGUGUUUUAUCCUAAGGUUGAGGUGUCUUACCUCCAAGGAUAAGGAGGUGUUUUAUCCUAAGGUUGAGGUGUCUUACCUCCAAGGAUAAGGAGGUGUUUUAUCCUAAGGUUGAGGUGUCUUACCUCCAAGGAUAAGGAGGUGUUUUAUCCUAAGGUUGAGGUGUCUUACCUCCAAGGAUAAGGAGGUGUU